CUGCUGCCUCCCGUAGAAGUCUGGGCCGUGUCUCAGUCCCAGUGUGGGGGGCCUUCCUCUCAGAACCCCUACGCAUCGUCGCCACGGUGGGCCGUCACCCCGCCGUCUAGCUAAUGCGCCGCAUGCCCAUCCGCCACCGGAUCGCUCCUUUGGCCACCGGAGGAUGCCCUCCGGUGGCGUCACGGGGUAUUAGGCCGCGUUUCCGCGGGUUAUCCCCCUGUGGCGGCCAGGUUGCAUACGUGUUACUCACCCGUGCGCCGGUCGCCGG
rnacentral:rRNA from 1 species